GGAAGCCAGCCGCUAGGGAAAGACAACGAGUAAACUGAGAGGGAAACAGCAAACGCCGAAGAAAAGAGUUCGAGAAGGGCAUAUAAGAAACGACAUUGCUAAUUGCUAUCCUGGUAUCGUCCGGAGGGAGAUGCAGUUUUGUGGUCCCAUGCAAUCGUUGAUUCUGUUCGUCUAUCGUCGUAGCUGCGCUCCUGCGCUCUGAGGUUGCUGGUUGACUCUGUUCAUUUAUCGCUGGAAUCUCCACAGCAGAAGUCUUUAAGAAAGCCUUUGAUGCACAGUUGAAUCGCUUUUGGCAUUUCAUGACCCUGGACUCUUAAAGGCAAGGUAACAUGUCUUCCAGAUCAGAUCGAUAUAUGUCUAGACAUUCUCAAAAUCCUCCGUCCAAAAAAAGUAAGACUGAAAGCUCCCAAGGGAAGGGGAAGAAAGAUAAAUAAAGAGGUAACAAGUGAAUGAGUGACGCAUGCCCCACCAGCGCAACGAGGGGCCCCCGCUCCUAUUCAACCCUUUGCGGCUGUUGGCCCUUCUGCAGACCCUAUCCAUUCCUUCAAGCAGUUGUUGGAAUUGUCUUUGAAACACACUAUACGAGCCCGAACCAAUCUGAUUCAGCUUGGAAUGGAUGUGCCUCCUGCACCGUCCUUGAUAAGCGAAGGUAUAGACAUCAGGGAGUAUGCUGCUCAAAUUACCCCUUCUGCAGACGUGAGCUACUUGGCUGCCAUGGAUGUGGAUUCACUAUAUAAUCUCUAUCUCAAGCAUGCCCUGGAGGCCAUGUUAGCGGGACAAGUUUUGCAUGCGCAACAUGAUCGAGCGAGUGUUUCGCGAAAUUGUUGAGGAUAACAAACGCCUCAAGGAGCUCCUCCAAGCACGUGAAGAUGCCUUAAAGGCAAAAGAGGGUGCCAUUGGCAUGUUGAGGAAGAAUCACCAGUACUUCGUAGAAUACUUAAAGCAAACGCAAGAGAAUCACCAAACCACAAUUGCUGCUUUGGCGGAGUCCCAUGCUGUGGCCCUGAAUAAGGUAGAGGAGGCCUACAAGCGUUCCACCAGGUACAAGGAAGACGUGAUGACUUACAUGCGCGAUCCUGAGGCCAUCAAAGAGUUUCUGGGGACUAAGGAGGGCCAAGAAGCAGUUGAGGCUGAAGCUCAAUUAGCAUUCGAUCGAUAUCGGGAUGUACUCAAUGCAGCGACAAAUUUAUCCGGUGCUGCACGAAAAGAUUCCAGACUUUGAUCUGGUUGCCAUGGGUCUGCCCAAGGAGAUAGAGGAGAAUCCAGAUCGGGACGCCAACAAAGAUGUAGAAGGAGCUGUGAUCACCAAUAAUGAUCCAUCAGGUCCCAUUCACCACCCGUCCCAUCACUGACCUUCUCAAUUUGGCUUCUUACACAUGUUGCCACAUGUCCUUUGGAGAACAUAGUGAUUGAGGACAUUCAGGUGAUAAGUAGCAAAAUUUAUAUGUAGUUUGAGAUUUAUCCGUACUAGGAACAAUUUUGAUACUUACAAAAUAAAUUUCAUGCUUAGCUACGGCCUUAACUGCUUGGUCGAGGCGUGGCACUGGCUUGAUAUUUUGUUUUUGGUAAGACUUCGGAAGUUUGAC